GUGAGAUCUUGAGGAUUUUUUCUACAAUAAGCCCCUGCCUUACCAUAGUGUUUUUGCAUCAGUGUCAUUCAUGGUUCCCAGCCCUGUUACAGUCAGAUGAGGUUGCUGGGUAGCUGAAUUUUGGACAUGAGGGCUGCCCCCAUUCAGUACGUGAAUGAAGGAGGUGAUGAAAGACCUUCAUUUGGGCAGUGUGAGCCAAGGAAGGAUGGUGACGUGCCUUCAUUCCUGUAAACCAAGCUGACACUGGACUCCACAAUGGCAAGUGAAACUAAGCAAGGAAUUGCUAUUGUCACUGAGUGGUAGCAUCUGUGUUUCAAAAACAAAAAAAGGAAGGGGAACAAACAGCUUCGCCAUGGGCAUAAUUAAAAAGGAAACCAGAUGGACAUACCAACUUCAAAACAAGUUCCCACAUCAGAUGAUGAGAGACUGAUGGGUAUUGAGUUCUACAUAAUACAUUGGACUAAGGGGAGGCAGAUGCUGCUUAAAUAUUGGAAGUUUCGAUUGUAGCUCCUGGGUAAUUUACUCUGCUCCUCAGCCUGCUCUUUAUGAGGCCAUGAUAUUAAUGGCACUGAGAAUGCAUUGUUUGUCUCUAUGUUCACUUAAAUGUCAUCUUCGCUCGCAUCCCAGCUGCUCAGCUUAUAACUCUUGGGAUAAUAAGCUUGAGAAACACUGUAUAAGAAGACUGGAUCAGUUGCCUGGAGAAGAAUAAAAAUAAGUUGAAGAUGAAUCAAGCAGUCAUCAUAUCAUUGUUCAGAAGAAUCUCUGAGCCUACUAAUUCUACCCAACCUUUUCCAUCUUUCCUUGCAUAUUUGUACGUCAAGUGUCAGCGGCCAAACAAAGACCACAGAAACAGAAUGGUGAAUGGGGUGAUAGAAUAAUGUGUUUAGCUUCAGGAGAAAUUUAGAUUUGAAUCCAGCAUGGGAAACUUCUGACCUAAGUGGCCAAGUCUUUUAUUCUCUCAGGGAUUCAGUUUACUCAUAUGCAAAAUGGAUCUAAUAAUAUGCACAUUACCUAACUCUCAACCUUAUUGUAAGGAAAGUGCUUUUCAAAACACUAUAUAAAUAUGAGUUAUUACUGGAAGCAGCAUUUUCCAUUUAAUUAAAACUUCUCACUUGCUAUUGGUCUAUUUCCUUCAGCCUUAGGCCUUGAGGCAGAUGCUAAUAGUCACAGUUGGUACAACCCAGCCUUCCUUCUGGAGAAUCAGCACCUGCUGACACCAUCCUCACCAAGGACUAAGUAUCAGUACCUGGGCAGAGCCUUCUGUUGAGUGUUAUCUUGGGUAAAUUACAGAGGUGUGUCUCCUGCCUUUGGGGAGUUUAUUCAGGCAAAAUAGGCAACACUAGACAGAUAGACAA